CCUCCUUCCCGGCCGCCCCAUUGUCCAUUGCUUCCUCCGCAGCGUGCACCUUCACCCAGAAGCACCAAGCAGCAGCAAAAUUCCAUCUUCCUACACGCAGCAGCAAAAUCGAUCCCUUUCUGUGCUCCCAUCUUCCUACACGAAGCAGCAAAAAGCAGCAAAAUUGAUCCCUCUCCAUCCGGUCUUUUCUUCCCUUCCCCUCCCAUGGCUGUGCAGGGCCUCUGCAGGGCUAAGCCACUACAUCCUCUCGCGUGGGGGGACUGCGCGCUGUACAGGGCUGCGCCUCCGCAUCGAGCCGGCUUGCGGGGUUGCAAGCCACGCGGGGACGCGCUUCCGCAUCCGCCGGCGUGCGGAUCUGCGAGCCGUGCGGGGCCGCGCCACCACAUCCGCCGGCGUGCGGAUCUGCGAGCUGUGUGGGGCCAAGACGCGGCGUCUGCUGGCGUGCACGAUCUGCGAGCUGUGUGAGCCGGGAGGGGCCGAGCACCUGUGCGUGGUGCCGAGUUGGACGCGUGCACGAGGAAGUUGAACGGCCAGUGGUUCCGGAGGCCUCGACGGCAACAGGGGGAUCGAUUUGACGACUUGGAUAAGGAAGAUCGCCAUGAUUUUGUAGUGAGAUGAGGGUAAAUCUGAGUCUAUAGAUAACCAUGAUAACUGUGAGUGACUUGUGUAUUUAGAAUCAUGUGUUUACUCGAGGCUUGUAGGAUAAAUGAACUUGCAAUGAUCUUGGAGAUGAGUCAUUUUAUUGCUUUUGAAAAUGGGAUCUUGCUUUUGAUGUACGUGGCUAGGAUGAGUUGGCUAAAUGCAUGGUUAAUUGUAUGUGUGUACAUUUUAAAAAAUUAUUGAUAUA